UUGAGUUGGCUGAGGUGGCACUGGGGUGAGGGAUGGCUGAGGUCCCUGCUGGCCUCUUUCGAUCCUUCCCUGAAAGGGGGAGGGGUUCCUAACCAGAGGCUGAGCUUGAGAUCAGCCUCCUGCCACAGCCGGAGGGCAUUCGGAGUGUCCAGCAGGGAUCCGAAGAGGAAGCCGGCUCUCAGAUUUAUCACUGGAUACCUGGAAGCGUGUGCUGUUGGUCUUUGUGUGACUGACUCCUAGUGGACCCCUGGACCUGGACCUAGUGGACUAGACCCAGCAAGGAAAGGGACAUCAGCUGAAGCAGGAGGCCACCAGAACAGAGAAUGCAGCCACAAGAAGAGAGUCUGUCAGUCCUCAAGAUGAGGGGGCGUGCCUACUGUGGGGGCCCCCAGGGAGGUCAGAGCACAGAGGGAGAGGGGAAGCCAGGGCUGACCAUUGCGUAUCGGGAAGGUCGGGAGCCGCGAUUCAUACAGAGACGGCAGAAGAAAGGAGACUCUGGGGUCCCUGGAGGCAGCACCUCCCUUCCAGGGUGUUAGGAUUCUAGCUCAGGCUCCAACCCAGGUCUCAUCCCAUCUGCAGGUGAACAAAUACUAUCUAAAUGCCAUAAAUUAUAGUUUUUUUUUUAAGUCUCUGUGUAGAGAAAACCGAAAUGAACAAAUGAAGACAGAGGUGAAAUUAAAAGAUAAUUGGAAGUCUA